rnacentral:lncRNA from 1 species
AAAACCUUCGAGUCACCACUCACCACCCACCAGGCCCAGCUUUCUUAUCUUUACCGGAAAACAUCAUCAUGGAUUCCAAUCCCCAAUCUUGUGAAAACCCUGAAAUCAAAUCAACCGAGGUGCAAACCCAAAACCAAAAUCAAGUUUCUCAAUCCCCAUUUGCUACUGCAUCUCUUUCUUUAUCUUCCUUGCCCCCAACCCUACCUACUCAGUUCUUCAUCCAACCC